GUUUCCGUAGGUGAACCUGCGGAAUCAUUUUAAUAAUCAUCCUACCCUUUGUGAAUUUGUUUUGUAAAGAAAAUUUAUGUUGUCUAUCCCUUGGAUUUAUUUGGAAAAGUUGAAAGACUUUUUCAUUUAACCAAGGGAAUAGGCUUUCAUAGACAUUUUUUUAAAUUAAACUUUUUGUAUUCAUUUGUCUAAAAUUUAUUUUUAAUAAUUUAAAAACAACUUUUGACAAUGGAUCUCUUGGUUCUCGCAACGAUGAAGAACGCAGCAAAAUGCGAUAAGUAAUGUGAAUUGCAGAAUACGUGAAUCAUCAAAUCUUCGAACGCAUAUUGCACUUUUCUAGUUUACUAGAAAAGUAUGUCUGUUUGAGUAUCAGUAAAAUAUUCUCAUAAAAACAUUGUUUUUAUGGUUAUGAGUGUUUUACAACGAUAAACAAGUUGUUUCACUUUAAAUUGAUUUUUAAAAGCCAAUUUUUGGUUUUAUCAAUAAAAUUGGAUAAAAUUUUCCCGUAAAAAGGAAUAAACUUUUCAGUUUUAAAGAUAAAACUUAAUUGUGCCUAAUUAAAAGGAAAUUUAACAAAAUAACUUGAUCUCAAAUCAGAUAAGAGUACCCGCUGAACUUAAGCAUAU
rnacentral:rRNA from 1 species